rnacentral:tRNA from 1 species
GUUGUGGUUCAGUGGCAGAGCAUCUGCCUGGCAUGCAGUAGGUCCCAGAUUCAAUCCCUGAUAUCUCCA